rnacentral:rRNA from 1 species
GACGAACGCUGGCGGCGUGCUUAACACAUGCAAGUCGAACGGUGAAGCGGAGCUUGCUCUGCGGAUCAGUGGCGAACGGGUGAGUAACACGUGAGCAACCUACCCUUGACUCUGGGAUAACAGUUGGAAACAGCUGCUAAUACCGGAUAUGACCCUGGUGGACAUCCACUGGGGUGGAAAGCUCCGACGGUCAAGGAUGGGCUCGCGGCCUAUCAGCUUGUUGGUGAGGUAACGGCUCACCAAGGCGUCGACGGGUAGCCGGCCUGAGAGGGCGACCGGCCACACUGGGACUGAGAUACGGCCCAGACUCCUACGGGAGGCAGCAGUGGGGAAUAUUGCACAAUGGGCGAAAGCCUGAUGCAGCAACGCCGCGUGCGGGAUGACGGCCUUCGGGUUGUAAACCGCUUUCAGCAGGGACGAAGGGUUUCUGACGGUACCUGCAGAAGAAGCACCGGCUAACUACGUGCCAGCCGCCGCCGUAA